ensembl:lncRNA
GUUUUAGGGACCUGGGCUCUUGAGCUGAGCUGCGAACGCAUCGUGAUAAUGCUCUUUCGUUUAAGCGCUGGGACAGUUACAGUGAGGAGUAGUUGUUAGUCCGGGGGACAGGUGGUUCCUGACGCGGUGGUAAAUGUCUGCGUCUUAACUGAGUUCAUUUUAGGAUCCAACCCCAUUCGAUUGUAGAAGGCAGAGCCGUCCUCUUGACAAGUACUGUUGAGGUUACUGUUUUGUCUUGCAUGACGUAAGAAUUCAAACUCCAAAAAAAGCUUCUGGACAAUUUAAUAAAGCAUCCCCAGACUCCAUACUGUGUAAAGUAUGCGCAGAAUCUCCAGGGAGGAUUUUCUUAGUCUGGAGAGGUCAGCUCUGCUGCUGCUGAAUUGUAACUAGCCUGUUUUCCUCGUAAGCCUCACAUUGCUGUGUCUCCUACCUCUCCGCAUCUGCUGGCUUGUGCACAUGGUGUUCCUGUCUCCUCUGCUGGAUGAUGGCAGCUGCAGCCCACUGCUCUUCUCUCUAAGCAAGCAUUCCAGAAAGCUUGGAGAACCGCAGCUGCCCUUUUCAGAGCAAAAGGGCAGCUAAAGCUGGAUAGCUAAAGCUGGGACUUCUUACUAAGUAAGAUAUGAACAACUCCUGCCCACCACUGCAAUUCCCCAGUGUAUAAACAUCAGCUUCCACAAACUUAAGAUAUGCCUCCGAGGAGUCAGAGGAGCUUGUUCCAACCCUUGCUAUGAUUAGCCCUGAGCUAACUACUGCCAGUCCUCCUCUUUUUGCUGAGGAAGACUGGUCCUGAACUAACAUCCGUGCCCAUCUUCCUCUACUUUAUAUGUGGGGCACCUGCCACAGCAUGGCUUGUUGAGAGGUGCCAUGUCCACACUCGGGAUCCGAACCAGCGAGCCCUGGGCCUCCGAGAAGCAGAACGUUUGAACUUAACCACUGUGCCACCGGGCCAGCCCCUCUUUAACAUUUCUUGUAGUGCAGUUUUCUAGUGAUGAAGUUUCUCAAGUUUUUAGUUUGAAAAAGUCUUUUUCAUCUCAAUUUUUGAAAUAUUUUCUCUAGAUACAGAAUUCUAGGUUGACUUUUUUCAGAAAAAGAUUUUGCUCCAUUGUUUUCUGCCUUGUAUACUGAGAAGUGUGCUAUCAUUCAUAACUUUGUUUUUCUGUAUGUAAUGUGCCUUCUAUGGUUGCUUGUAAGAUUUUUUUCUUUACUAGGGGUUUUCAGCAGUAUGAUUUUUGUGUGUUUUGUAUGGUUUUCUUCAUGUUUCUUCUACUUGGGAGGCAUUGAGCUUCUUGGAUAUGUAGGUUUAUACUUUCUAUCAAAUUUGGAAAUUUUCACCCACAAUUUCUUCAAAUGUUUUUCUCCCCUUUUUUUUUCUGUGACUCCAAUUAUGUGUAUGCUAGACUUUUUGAUAUUUUCCCACAGGUCAUUGACACUCGUUGAUUUUUUCCAGUCUUAUUUCUCUGUUUCAUUUUGAAUAGUUUCUAUCACUAUAUCUUCAAAUUCACUAGUCUUUUCUUCUGCAGUGUCUAAUGUGCUGUUAAUCCCAUCCAGUACAUUUUUCAUUUCAGAUAACGUGUUUUUCAACUCUACAAAUUCUUUGUGGUUCUUUGAAGAAUCUUCCAUCAUGUUCCUAUUUUACUCUACUUGUUGAUCAUACAGAAUGUAUUUAUAGUAACUUUUAAUGUCCUAAUAUAAUCAGUGGCAUUUUUGUGUCUAUUUCAAUAAUUUUAUUUUUUUAAUUUAGAUUAUGGGUCAUAUUUUCCUGCCUCUUUGUCUGACUGCUAAGUUUUACUGGAUGACAGGCACUGUGAAUUUUGUUGAUAGAUGCUGGAUUUUAGUGUGUUCAUUUAAACAUUGUUGGGGUUUGUUCUGGGAUGCAGUUAAAUUGAAAUUAGUUUGAUACUCUUGAGGUUUAUUUUAAACUUUGUAGGGUAGGUCCAGAGCAGCCUAUAGUUAGGAGCUUGUUUGGCUCCACUAUUAAGGUAAUACCUUUCUGAGAACUCUGCGCCAUGCCCAGUGUAUUGAAUGCCCCAUGUGUUAGUCUUUCCACAAACUAUUCCCAGAGUGAGAGAGUUAAAGAUUGUUCUGCCUCCUCCUUUUUAGUCGUUCUUUCUCUGGUUUCUGGUAGUUUCUUCUCACAUAUGUGCAGAUCAGUCCUCAGCAAAAGACUCCAGAUCAAGCUUCUGCAGAUCUUUGCAGUACUCUCUAUAUUUGACUGCCUCCUCAAUGUUAUUAUAUCUUUAAAUUCUAGAAAAUUGGCCUCCCCAAACACCAAACUCUGUUUCCUCAAUUUAGUGUGAUUCCUGACUUCUGUUUGGGUACCCUUCCAUAAGUUACAGCCUGGAAACUCCAGAAACAAGCUUGACAAAAUAGGACUUACCUUCCUUAUUUCCUUAUUUAUAGGGUCACUGAUCACUGUCCUGUGCUGACUGUCCUCCAGUGUCUGAAAACCAUUGUUUUAUAUAUUUCAUCCAGUUUUCUGUUUGUUAUGAUGGAAGGAUAAAUCUGGUCCCUCUUACUCCAUCAUGGCUGGAAACUAAACUUCAUAGUGUUUAAAUUUUUUUUUUUUUGAUGUUGCAUUCCUUAAGAAGACAUACACUUCCCAGUUUUACCACUAAAGUACUCACUGCUAAAUAUUGUCUUAGAAUGAACAGUUUCACACACAUUUAUGUCACUUACUUGAUCCCUAAGAUGGCUGGGUUUGCAACUGAUUUGUAUUGUUACAUUUCCAGUCUGCUUUCUCUUCUUAAGAGUUUUUUUUCCUUACAACACCAGAGUUCCAACAAAAACUGUGCAAAGAGAAAGGACAAUAAUAAUAUACGUGGCAAUCGAAAUCCAAAGAGAGAAUAAGACACUUUUCCUGAGGAAGAAAAAAAAUAUCUGUGGAAACUUGAUACUAAGAUAACAUUUAACUUACAAACUCUUAGCUUCUCUAAGAUAUUUACAUUCAAGAUACUUCAAGUUUUCCCAGGAACAACAGGUAGAGAUUUGAUUUACAUUUGCUUUACAGGCCCAUUUUUGUGGCUUUCUUAAAACAAAGAGACAAUCUGCUUUAAAUGUAAAUUUAACCUCUUAAAAGGCAGAUAUAUUUACAGCUUUUAAAUGGCAUUUCUCCUAGUCUGUAUUCAUCAAGGGUUCAAAAGCAUCUUACGGUCCAGUGUGUCACCUUUUUGCACAAAUGUGGUAUAACAGAAAAAAGUUUGGUCUUUGUCCCUGGUUCCUGCCACAAAGCUCCUAAAGCCUUUGGAAUUUCCUUAGUGAUUGGGCAGCCCCCUAGAUAGCUUCGGAAUGGGGGCUGGUCACCAGUAAGGCCAAUGCCUGAUUACAAGCUUGGAACUUUCACUCCCCUCAACAACCUCCAGGAAGAGGAGAGUGGCUGGAGAUUGAGUUAAUCACCAACGACCAAUAAUUUAAUCAAUCAUGUCUAUGUAAUGAAAUCAUCAUGAAAACUCCUAACUGAUGGAGUUUGGAGAGCUUCCCAGUUAGUGAACUCACUGAGGUGCUGGGAAAGUAAUGCACCCAGAGAGGGCAUGGAAGCUCCACACCACAGCGCCACCCUAUACCUUGCCUUGUGCAUCUCUUCCAUUUGGUUGGUCCUGAGUUAAAUAUUUUAUAAUAAAUCAGUAAUCAUAAGUAAAGCACUGUCCUGAGUUCUUUGAGUUGUUCCAGUGAGUUAUCAAACCUAGGGAGAGGGUCAGGGGAGCCUCUGAAUAUUUAGUCUGCUGAGCAGAAAUAUAGGUAGGCUUGGCACCCCAUCUGUCGCCAGCAUCUCAAGUAAGAGCAGUCUUGUGGGACCAAGUCCUUAAAAUUGUGGAGCCUGACGCUAACUUCAGGAGUUGGUUUCAGAAUUGAAUUGAAUUGUUGGACACCUAGUUGGUAUGAGAAUUGUUG